GAUGAACGCUGGCGGCGUGCCUAACACAUGCAAGUCGAGCGAUCUUCUUCGGAAGAGAGCGGCGGACGGGUGAGUAACGCGUGGGUAACCUGCCUCAUACACAUGGAUAACAUACCGAAAGGUAUGCUAAUACAAGAUGAUAUAAGAGAUUCGCAUGGAUUUUUUAUCAAAGCUCCGGCGGUAUGAGAUGGACCCGCGUCUGAUUAGCUAGUUGGUAAGGUAACGGCUUACCAAGGCGACGAUCAGUAGCCGACCUGAGAGGGUGAUCGGCCACAUUGGAACUGAGACACGGUCCAAACUCCUACGGGAGGCAGCAGUGGGGAAUAUUGCACAAUGGGCGAAAGCUUGAUGCAGCAACGCCGCGUGAGCGAUGAAGGCCUUCGGGUCGUAAAGCUCUGUCCUCAAGGAAGAUAAUGACGGUACUUGAGGAGGAAGCCCCGGCUAACUACGUGCCAGCAGCCGCGGUAAUACGUAGGGGGCUAGCGUUAUCCGGAUUUACUGGGCGUAAAGGGUGCGUAGGUGGUUUCUUAAGUCAGGAGUGAAAGGCUACGGCUCAACCGUAGUAAGCUCUUGAAACUGGGAAACUUGAGUGCAGGAGAGGAAAGUGGAAUUCCUAGUGUAGCGGUGAAAUGCGUAGAUAUAUGGAGGAACACCAGUGGCGAAGGCGGUUCUCUGGGCUCACAUUGACGCUGAGGCUCGAAAGCGUGGGGAGCGAACAGGAUUAGAUACCCUGGUAGUCCACGCCGUAAACGAUGAGUGCUAAGUGUUGGGAGGCUUCCACCUCUCAGUGCUGGCGUUAACGCAAUAAGCACUCCGCCUGGUGAGUACGGCCGCAAGGCUGAAACUCAAAGGAAUUGACGGGGACCCGCACAAGCGGUGGAGCAUGUGGUUUAAUUCGAAGCAACGCGAAGAACCUUACCAGGACUUGACAUCUGAUGCAUAACCUAGAGAUAGGUGAAAUUCUUCGGAACAUCAAGACAGGUGGUGCAUGGUUGUCGUCAGCUCGUGUCGUGAGAUGUUGGGUUAAGUCCCGUAACGAGCGCAACCCUUAUCACUAGUUGCCAGCAUUCAGUUGGGGACUCUAGUGAGACUGCCGGUGACAAACCGGAGGAAGGUGGGGAUGACGUCAAAUCAUCAUGCCCCUUAUGUCCUGGGCUACACACGUGCUACAAUGGAUGAUACAGCGAGAAGCGAAGUCGCGAGGCCAAGCGGAUCUCUUAAAGUCAUUCUCAGUUCGGAUUGUUCUCUGCAACUCGAGAGCAUGAAGCCGGAAUCGCUAGUAAUCGUGGAUCAGCACGCCACGGUGAAUACGUUCCCGGGUCUUGUACACACCGCCCGUCACACCACGAAAGUUUGUAACACCCGAAGCCGGUGGCCUAACCUUAUGGAGGGAGCCGUCGAAGGUGGGACAGAUGAUUGGGGUGA
rnacentral:rRNA from 1 species